CAAGUACUCCCUCCGUCCGAAAAUACUUGUCAUCAAAAUGGACAAAAAGAAUGUAUCUAGAACUAAAAUACAUCUAGAUACAUUUUUUUAUUCAUUUUGAUGACAAGUAUUUCCGGACGGAGCGAGUAUAAC
rnacentral:pre_miRNA from 1 species